UCUGAAAUCAAGUGGGGAUUACCCGCUGAACCUUAAGCAU
rnacentral:rRNA from 1 species